UUACCUUGAAGAACAUAAGCCACUUUAGCUGAAUCAGAGUAUCGAGGAAGAGCAAAGCCAUCCUUUUCAAGAGCAAGUUUGGCUGCACCAAUAUUACCUUCACGUAGCAUUGCUAGUUCUGAAGGACACCAAGCAUGGUACGAUCCACCAUCUCCUCCAUACACUUUCUUUGCCAAUCUGGGUGAUAAAUCAAUCUCCAUCUUCAUAUUUUCUUUGUAACUAAAUGAGAAAACUCUGUUUUUAAUUGAUAUAUUUUGAUAUGAUAUUCUGAUGUGUAGAUGCAAAACAGAAGCCCUGUAUUUAUAGAUAUAGCAAACAGAGUAUUUACUGUGGAUAAGUAUAAAGCUAACAGAAAUUCUAUCCGACUCUGAUAAUUCUGAUACUCAGAUAUACAAAAUUUGAUACAGAUUGGAUUAGGAUUUAGUGUCGAUUUUAACUACUUAAUAUCUAUUAUCUGUUUUUUCUUUUUAAGAAAAAAAAAAAUCUGUUGUGUUAUUAUCCUAAUUCUCGCCAAUAAAAUCAUUAUACAAUUAUGAGUAAUAUGUAUUUUACAAAUUACUCUUAAAAAAGGGCAACUGUUAUUGUUGUUGACAUAUAAAGCUUAUUUUCCUUAUUAGAAAAAGGGUAAAUCAAAACAAAAACAAUAUAAAAUAUCUUUUUUUCCUAAUUUUCUUCAUAGAAUCAUAAACAUCACGCUUAUUUUAUCUUUCAAGAAAUUUAAAAAAAAAUGGAUAAAUAAAUUGAAUGAUACUUUUUCCAAAUUAAUAAAUUAUUGAUCUAUUGAUUAAUUAAUAUCUAAUCUAUAGGGGUCAGGUUGAAUUCAUAAAGUAAUUUUCAUUCGUAAUAUCAUAAAUAAAUAACAUAUUUUAUG
rnacentral:lncRNA from 1 species